rnacentral:snRNA from 1 species
AUACUUACCUGGCAGGGGAGGUGCCCUGAUCAUGAAGGUGGUUUUCCAGGGCGAGGCUUACCCAUUGCACUCCGCAUGUGCAGACCCCAGCGAUUUCCCCAAAUAUGGGAAACUCGACUGCAUGAUUUGUGGUAAUGGGGUGUGGGGGGGGGGGACUGUGUUCACACUCUCCCCUA